rnacentral:rRNA from 1 species
CCUACGGGAGGCAGCAGUGGGGGAUAUUGCACAAUGGGGGGAACCCUGAUGCAGCGACGCCGCGUGGGUGAAGAAGCGCCUCGGCGCGUAAAGCCCUGUCAGCAGGGAAGAAAAUGACGGUACCUGAAGAAGAAGCCCCGGCUAACUACGUGCCAGCAGCCGCGGUAAUACGUAGGGGGCAAGCGUUAUCCGGAUGUACUGGGUGUAAAGGGGGCGCAGACGGCGAUGCAAGCCAGGAGUGAAAGACCGGGGCCCACCCCUGGGACUGCUCUUGGAAAUGCGUGGCUGGGGUGUAGGAGGGGCAGGCGGAAUUCCUGGUGGAGCGGUGAAAGGCGUAGAUAUCAGGAGGAACACCGGUGGCGAGGGCGGCCUGCUGGACUGCAACUGACGUUGAGGCCCGAAAGCGUGGGGAGCAAACAGGAUUAGAUACCCGUGUAGUC